GACCUGGUGGUGAAAUGCAUCACACCCACUCUAUAUUAACAUUGAAAUCUUCUGUUGUGGGAAUCCCUGGUUCGAGUCCGGGCCAGGUCA